rnacentral:sRNA from 1 species
UACUCCUAUUUGGAUUUAAACUAGUUACUUUUUGUUACAGCUCCGCUAAUUGUGUGAAUUUGACUCAAUUAGGAUGAACCACUGAAGAUACUGAGAGCUGCCCCGAGCAACUAUCACUUCUACAAAGAAGAACCCCUGCUAUCCAGAAGGGCCAACCUUGGAUGUAUUGAAUUGGCUGGAGAACAGGGCCUCGCCCCGUUUGUUAUAAAUUACUGUGUUGCUAUUCUUGUAAAGCGAAGCGUCUGGCAACUGCUCACAAAAGCCGAGUACAUCCCCGCCCAUGAGAUGAAAUGAGAGCUGGAUCCAAUGCUGAAACCUUUGUCAUCAGCUUCAAGAAUUAGCCCAAAUGAAACUAAAGCUACGAUAUAAAUAAAAACUUCUAGUCCUGGCUGCAGCUUACGAUGAAUGCAGAUAAUACAGACAAUAUCAAUUCUAACAAGGCAGCAAUCAUUUAGAGAAAACAG